CCCUUCUAAAUCCACAAUAGCAUUGGCAUUUUCCCAGCUUCCGUGUGUGGUGCUGGAUCCCAUCCAACUCUGUAAUUGCAUGGAUAUCCAAUAGCAGGCCCCAGGCUAUAAGGGCUCCUGAAUUAUGCAUCAGGAAGAACACACUGAUUUAAUCCGAAGUCGGGGAAAUCUGAAACCACACAAAAUUGGUAGGAUAAUGAGAUCGUGAGUAAGAUAAGAUAAUUUGACAAAGUGUCUUUCUGGGAUUUGUAUUCUUUACAGACAAUUAAUUACAUUCUGAGAAUCUGUACAGACUUUUGAUACUUCUUAAACCUUGAAAUCUUACAGUAAAUAAAGGGAAAUUGCUACAGAA
rnacentral:lncRNA from 1 species